CUACGUGCCAGCAGCCGCGGUAAUACGUAGGUCCCGAGCGUUGUCCGGAUUUAUUGGGCGUAAAGCGAGCGCAGGCGGUUAGAUAAGUCUGAAGUUAAAGGCUGUGGCUUAACCAUAGUACGCUUUGGAAACUGUUUAACUUGAGUGCAAGAGGGGAGAGUGGAAUUCCAUGUGUAGCGGUGAAAUGCGUAGAUAUAUGGAGGAACACCGGUGGCGAAAGCGGCUCUCUGGCUUGUAACUGACGCUGAGGCUCGAAAGCGUGGGGAGCAAACAGGAUUAGAUACCCUGGUAGUCCACGCCGUAAACGAUGAGUGCUAGGUGUUAGACCCUUUCCGGGGUUUAGUGCCGUAGCUAACGCAUUAAGCACUCCGCCUGGGGAGUACGACCGCAAGGUUGAAACUCAAAGGAAUUGACGGGGGCCCGCACAAGCGGAGGAACAUGUGGUUUAAUUCGAUGAUACGCGAGGAACCUUACCCGGGC
rnacentral:rRNA from 1 species